rnacentral:rRNA from 1 species
UACGAAGGGUGCAAGCGUUACUCGGAAUUACUGGGCGUAAAGCGUGCGUAGGUGGUGAGUUAAGUCUGUCGUGAAAGCCCCCGGGCUCAACCCGGGAACUGCGUCCGAUACUGGCAGGCUUGAAUCCGGGAGAGGGAUGUGGAAUUCCAGGUGUAGCGGUGAAAUGCGUAGAUAUCUGGAGGAACACCGGUGGCGAAGGCGACAUCCUGGACCGGUAUUGACGCUGAGGCGCGAAAAGCCAGGGGAGCAAACGGGG